AUGUAGCCAAGUGGAUCAAGGCAGUGGAUUGUGAAUCCA
rnacentral:tRNA from 1 species